rnacentral:rRNA from 1 species
AUUGAACGCUGGCGGCAGGCCUAACACAUGCAAGUCGAGCGGAGCGGCGGACGGGUGAGUAAUGCCUAGGAAUCUGCCUGGUAGUGGGGGAUAACGUCCGGAAACGGGCGCUAAUACCACAUACUCUCAGAUGAGCCUAGGUCGGAUUAGCUCGUUGGUGGGGUAAAGGCCUACCAAGGCGACGAUCCGUAACUGGUCUGAGAGGAUGAUCAUUCACACGGGAACUGAGACACGGUCCAGACGCCUACGGGAGGCAGCAGUGGGGAAUAUUGGCCAAUGGGCGAAAGGCUGAUCCAGCCAUGCCGCGGGUGUGAAGAAGGUCUUCGGAUUGUAAAGCACUUUAAGUUGGGAGGCGUUACCAACAGAAUAAGCACCGGCUAACUUCGUGCCAGCAGCCGCGGUAAUAC